AAGAGAAAGAGAGAGAAGAGAAAAGAAAAUAAUCUCGAAUGACGCGAUCCGUUAACAACGUGCUAAAUGAUCGCCGAUCUUCUCGGGACGAUCCUCGCUUAGAACGUCACUUUGUGGAGGUGCUUUAUACUUUUGGUCAAGAAUGUAUUAUAUAUAAGAAUCAUGCCGGUGAUGGACGUUCUUAGAGAAAACUUCCCUUCAAUCUUUGGAGUAGACAACCGAUCUCCCGCAGCUUC